UACGUAGGGCGCAAGCGUUGUCCGGAAUUAUUGGGCGUAAAGAGCUCGUAGGCGGUUUGUCACGUCGGCUGUGAAAACCCGAGGCUCAACCUCGGGCCUGCAGUCGAUACGGGCAGACUAGAGUGCUGUAGGGGAGACUGGAAUUCCUGGUGUAGCGGUGAAAUGCGCAGAUAUCAGGAGGAACACCGGUGGCGAAGGCGGGUCUCUGGGCAGUAACUGACGCUGAGACGCGAAAGCGUGGGGAGCGAACAGG
rnacentral:rRNA from 1 species